UGUAGUCGGUUCCCUAUUGCACUGGUCUAAGUCAGAUGGAAUGCUGCGCGAUUCAGAGUAAAAGCCUCGUAUGACCAACCGCAAGCUUACGAUGGACCGGGGAGAGUCGGAUACUUUGAGAGUAGUGUCUUAAGGGGGUGGUAUGUCCCAUCCAAGGCUAAAUAACGUGAGGAGACCGAUAGAUUACAAGUAGUGUGAACGAAAGAUGAAAAGAACUCUAAAACAGAGGGUGAAAAGUUCCUGAACUUGCUUAGGGUUAAGGCUAUUUAUAGUACCCGUCUUGAAACACGGAUUAGGGAGUUUAUCUGUAGUGCGAGUCUUUGCACGUUAACUGUAAAGGCGUAGAGAAAGCAACUGGCGUUUGCAUGGCUACUGAGCAUUACUGAUAGGACCCGAAAGGUGGUGAACUUUGCCUGCACAGGUUGAAGUCAGGGGAAACUCUGAUGGAGGACCGUACGGGUUAUUGAUGUGCAAAUCAUUUUUCUGAUGUAGGUAAAGGUGCGAAAGACUCAUCGAACCACCUAAUAGCUGGUUUCCUCCGAAGUUUCCCUCAGGAUAGCUGUAAUGCAUUUAGUUAAGGGGAGUAGAGAUAUGGGUAGAGGUGCAGGGAGCCUUCGGGUUCUCAACUUAUUUCCAAACUUCGAACCUCCUUGUUAGGCAUUUACCUAACUGGAAAUGCUUAAAUGAAUUAGCGUUACAAGUGGGCUCUGACCGGUAAGCGGUCAUGGCGAAAUGGGAUGAACCAUACGUCUGAAUAAGGUGCCGAAAUGUACUAUCACUGAUACCAUAAAGGGAGUCCAUGUAUUUAGACAGCAGGUCGGUGCCCCUAAAAGCAGGUAUCCGCUAAAGAGUGUGUUAAAACUCACCUGCCGAAUACUAGGGCCCCGAAAAUGAAUGGCGCAUAUAGUACUACCGAUCUCAGACAUCAGUUCUAUUGAACUGAGAGUAAGGGGGAUGUGGACAUUUUUGUGAAGGUGCAAUGUGAGUUGGACUGGAAGAAUGUCUAUUACAGAUCCUAAUUGAAGUAGCGAUUAUCCAGGCUUGUAUCUGGGGGCUGA
rnacentral:ncRNA from 2 species